rnacentral:ncRNA from 1 species
CGAACUUAAAUUUAAAUCUCUCGUAUAAAUUCGGGAAUAAGGCCCGAAAGUUUCUACCUAAUGACCGUAAAUCAUUUGGCUACGAGAGAAAGGGUACCUAGG